AGUGCCCUAAAGACCAACUGGAUAGAAGGAGAGCGGAGCAGAGGCUUGGAAGCUUGGAUCCCUCCUCCUGCACUCCCUCCCGGCCCCGACUCCGGAACAAAACAAGCAAACAAUAAAGCAAACUUGUUGCUCUUUUGUCUCAAAGUUUUGUGUUGUCAGCGGCAGGCUGCAAUUUUAAUUCUGUAAACGUAAGUGGUUGGCUUUUUUUUUUUUUUUUUUUUUUUAAUCUUGAGACAAGAUCUCGCUCUGUCUGUUUGGCUAGAAUGCAGUGGCAUAAUCCCAGCUCGCUGCAACCUCAAUCUCCAGGGCUCAAGCGACCCUCCCACCUUGGACUCCCAAAGAGUGCUAAGAUUACAGGCAUGAGCCACUAUGCCCAGCUGGCAUUUAUUUUCUUAAAGAAAAAAAAAAUCUAAAUACUUGGGGGAAAUGGGAGUUGAGCAAAAGACUGACACUAACAGCAGAAUGAAUCAUUUUUAUAUCUUCUUUACCUUCUUUACUGGGAAAGGUGGCUGGCUCAGCAGGGAAGGAGUGUAUGAGGAGACUGUGUAAAAUGUGUCUUGUCGCGUUGUUGGUAAGCCGCUAAGCAAAUGUCUUUAACAUUAAUUUGAAAUUAGGUCUUGACAAAAUCUUGAGAAAUUAAAACAGGAAAAUAGAUAUUUGUACUCUAGGAUGAUAAUUAAAAUUGUAAUAUGAAGAGUAAAUUGAGGGGUCAUAUUGAAAGGGAAUAAUAGUAGAAGACAAAAAGAAAACAAGGAACCAAACAAAACUUCAGCUCCUCUAAUGGCAUGCACAGAACAUAGAAGUUUCUGAUGAAGGAACUGGCAAAAAAGACAGAAAAGGAACUGCUGGGGUAAAAUGGCAACAUGCUGGGAGAACACAGGUUUGCAGCUCUUGUGGGAGAAAUACUUUCAAGAAGAAAGAAGUAGUUAAUAAUGCAAAAUACUCAGGUGAGCACCAGGGAAUAAAGGAUGGAGAAAUAUUUUGAAUUUUUCAGGACAAUAUUUAGUGUGAGUAAAUUUAGAAGGCACAAAAACUGAACAGCUGAAAUGAUCUGUGAGAAGAUAGAUAUUGUCAUGGACUGAAGACCAAGGUUACAUGGAAAGAGAAAUGGACUGGAUAAUAGUUGAAAAGAUUAGACAGCAAACAUGUUUUUCUUUUAAGAAAAGAUAAGAAGAUUGAUUGAGGUCAAAGUGCAAUGAGUCAAGGAUAGUGACAACUGGAAGAACAGGAAGCAGUUUGGCGGUGGCGGAUAGGUGAGGCACAAGGACGUCAGCACUGGAUUCAGACAAACCGGCGUGUAUUGCGCGUGUACUUUGGGUGGCCCUGUGCUGCGUCAGCUGGAAGGGAUCCAGAGAAAAAGACAGAGCCCUCUUUGAAGACAUCCAGAGAGAGUAAGCUCCUUAUGAUCCUGUGAUUGGUAUUUCCAUGGUAGAGAUCUGAUAGCUGCAUAGGAAAACAGUUGAAGAAAGUGGGAGGGCAAAGAUACUCAAGAGGAGCGGGUAUCAAACGGCAAAGGCCUGAGGGCAUGGAGAGUGGCUAUGUUUUAACUGACACAUGGCUUCCUAGCAUGUAGAGAGCUGUAUUUGAUUUAGUUUUGCAAACGAAGUUCUCUUAAAAACAAAUGCAGCGCAAUGAUGCAAAGUUAAGAGAGGUGAUUAUUCCUUUAAUGCAAUUACAAGUGUU
rnacentral:lncRNA from 1 species